rnacentral:rRNA from 1 species
GACGAACGCUGGCGGCGUGCUUAACACAUGCAAGUCGAACGGAAAGGCCCCUUUGUGGGUACUCGAGUGGCGAACAGGUGAGUAACACGUGAGUAACCUUCCCUUGACUUCGGGAUAACUUCAGGAAACUGGGGCUAAUACCGGAUAGGAAUCCUUUCUGCAUGGGGGGGGUUGGAAAGCUUCGGCGGUUUUGGAUGGACUGGCGGCUUAUCAGCUUGUUGGUGGGGUAGUGGCUUACCAAGGCUUUGACGGGUAGCCGGCCUGAGAGGGCGACCGGCCACAUUGGGACUGAGAUACGGCACAGACUCCUACGGGAGGCAGCAGGGGGGAAUAUUGAACAAUGGGCGGAAGCCGGAUGCAGAAACGCCGCGGGCGGGAUGACGGCCUUCGGGUUGUAAACCGCUUUCAGCAGGGGCGAAGCUUGUGGUGACGGUACCUGCAGAAGAAGCACCGGCUAACUACGUG